UAUAGUGACAUUGCAAAGGGGUACAGAUAGUGAGAGGUUAACUGGGACCAUUUCGCCGACCCUCGCUCAUAGCAAUAAUGAUAAUGGUGUUCGGAGGGCCGGAGGAGUAAAAGGAAGAAGGGGUGUGCUGAGCACUAAACAAGAUUGGGGAGCUCACUUGAGGAAGCUGCUGGUGGGAGCCCAGCAGUGCUGGGACCUCUGCGGGAGGUUUGUCAGGCUGCUCCACUGCCGCAAAGCUAACCGGGACCCACCUCUGCUCCCGGGAGCCAGGACGACUUCCUCCUUCUGCCGGCCAGGGACUCAUACUGGCGGAACCUAAGCCAAAGUCCCCGGUUUUGGAACUUGUCUUCAGAAGAUUUUCAUCCAAGGAGCUGAAACCUUCCUUAUCGUCAAAGCUUGCCUGGGUGAGGGAUGCAUUGUUGAAGACGGAAGGGGCAGGCCCUGGCCGGACUGUAAGUCCCUUGGGGGCAGGAGCUGGGCCUGUUGGUGUUCCUUCUUUUCUGCUUGCUGCCUACCACAUGCUGUGAACAGCGGGCGCUGCUUGAGAUCUGCUGAGCAGGGAGAAGCCAAGCCCCUCACCUCGGAGUCCUGGCCGCUCUUGUACAGCUCGGGCAACGCCAGGAGAGUCUCUGCCGAGAUGUCCUUAUCGAGGACCCCGAAGACGAGAGGAGGCAGCGAGGUGAAGAAGAGGUUGAAGAAUAUCAUCUGCCAGUAAUCGAUCAUGGUGGAGCCCGAGAAGCCGCAGAAGAACUGGUACCAGAAGAGCAGGUUCACGUAGCACUGCAGGCAGACAGCGCGGCCUCGUGAGCGAGGAUGCUGCGCGGGGCCCCUGGCAAGUCACCGCGCGGAUGGGGGCGCCAGGCUCCUCGUCCGUGACGUGCAGAGUCAGUUCCUGAGUUCUGAGGUGGAACGACCCCGACUCCUUCCCAGGAGAGCGGACAGAGGGACACCAGAAAAGGCCUCCGAGCUGUCCUCAAGACCUGAAGCAAUGACUCAUCGUCCUUAUGUCCCCUCGACAGUCAGCGCCCAGCCCAGCCCAGCCCAGCCCAGCCCCUAAACCGCCGGUGUCUUGUGAGUUUGCCCUGUAUAAUCUGUAACCUACACACCUUUAACAUUAGCUCCCUGUCUCCGGAUUGGCCAAUUCAAUAUUAAACUUUCUAU